rnacentral:piRNA from 1 species
UAACGGUGAUGCCCAUGGACUCUCUGA